UCAUGAGCAGCAUUGUGUAGACCCCGAAAGGAUGUGUCAAUGGGCGCGCUAAGAAAGGAGGCUAAUUUGAGGACGACAAAAGGCGUGAUAGCUCAUUUUUAAGAAGUGAGCAGCAGCAUUUGGAACCAACUGGACAUGUUUGAGGGAUGACUGACUGACUCCAAAGUAAAGUACAUUACAUUAAAGGUUCUGUCCUCGUGGGACCCCUCGGGGUGCUGUCAGGAACCAUGUGGAUUGUCUUCAGAGUCUAACAAUUGACGAACAUCAUGGCGGUGGCUCCUUUUUUAAAAAAUGUAAUCUGUCACGGAUUAGCGGGCGCCCGAGCUCGAGAUUUGACCCAGCAAUAUAAUCCUUUGUGUUGAUCUAACGUAAUCUGAUUUCUCUCAAUUACUUUGUCUCCAAAAUACACGGAGGCA